AUGUCUUGUCACUACCUCAAGCCGAAAGACCCCAAUUUUCACACUGUGCAUCAAAGGAUCCUUGGUGAUAAACGAGCAUAUCCACACAUGAAAGACUGCAUUGGUGCAAUAGAUGGGGCUCACAUUAGAGCUUCGAUUCCAGAAGACAAGCAAAUCAGAUAUAUUGGAAGGACAGGCGCAGUCACUGAGAAUGUGAUGGCAAUAUGUGACUUUGAUAUGCAUUUCACUUAUGCUUCAAUUGGACAACCUGGUUCUAUGCAUGACACAAGUGUGCUAUUUCAUGCAAUGCAUGCGGACAAGGCCACCUUCCCCCAUCCAAAGGACAAGUACUACCUUGUGGAUGCUGGCUAUCCUAAUAGAAAGGGAUAUCUCACACCAUACAAAGGUGAACGAUAUCAUGUGUCUGACUUUCAUAGAGUUGUUCCACCCAAUACUCCUAAAGAAAAGUUCAAUAGGCUCCACUCGUCCAAACACAAUUGCAUAGAGAGAGCCUUUGGAGUGUGGAAGAUGAAAUGUCAGAUUCUUCUAAAGAUGCCAAGCUACUCCAUCGAAAUACAAAAGAUGAUUGUUGCCGCUACUAUGACUUUGCACAACUAUGUUCGCUUCCAUGAUGAAGAAGAUAUUCACUUUGUUCGAUGUGACAGGGACCCGGACUAUGUGCCGACAAUUCCGGAACGAUACAAGAAAUUUGUUGUUCCUUCACAUGCAUCGGAUACAUCAACUAUAGCGGAAAAUGGUGAAGACAUGGAUGUGUUUAGGCAAGAACUAGCUACAUCCAUUGCUCUAAGUUGGUGA
rnacentral:rRNA from 1 species